UACGUAGGGUCCGAGCGUUGUCCGGAAUUAUUGGGCGUAAAGGGCUCGUAGGCGGUUCGUCACGUCGGGAGUGAAAACCCAGGGCUCAACCCUGGGCCUGCAUUCGAUACGGGCAGACUAGAGUUCGGUAGGGGAGACUGGAAUUCCUGGUGUAGCGGUGAAAUGCGCAGAUAUCAGGAGGAACACCGGUGGCGAAGGCGGGUCUCUGGGCCGAAACUGACGCUGAGGAGCGAAAGCGUGGGGAGCAAACAGG
rnacentral:rRNA from 1 species